UCUGUUACUUUGUUAUAAAUUAAAGUUACAGUUAGAAAAAGACUAAAUGUGUAAGGCUUGUUUGAAAGAGUUAUGAGCAAAGAACCUCUUCUGUCCAAAAAGAACACAGCAGCAGACGUUAGCUUUGCAAAGUUGGAUUUGCACAACAGCAAGAUUUCUGGAACAGCCAAGACCAAAGUGAAGAUAUUUGGACGGACAUGAUGCACAGAGCAUGAAUACCAAAGCUCAGCAGCAAAUCUGAAAAGAACAGAGUACCAAAGUGUUGCAAUAGCCCAGUCAAACCUGAUUGAAAUGUUGCGGUGAAACUUUAAAAGAACUGUGGAUAAAUUAAUGCCCAACUUCAAGUUUCACGUUUUAUGGUCAUACACAGAUAAACAGUGUAACCACUUCUUUGGCUCGUGCUCCUCAGCUUUGCAUGAGCAUGUAGAAAGUGUGCCGUUAUAUUUAAGAAGAAAUUAACAAGAAAAUUAUGGUAAUAAUAAUAAAAUAUAAUAAAAACAAAAUACUACAGUAUUAAAUUUAGAGAAUUUGAGACAAUUGUUGGUAUUUACAGUUUGUGCAAAAACUUGUGCAAUGAGCAUUUAAGAAAUAUUUGUUGAAGUGACCGUGUGUAGAGUCCUGUAAUUGUCGUGAGUGUGUAAUGGUGUGUACAGAAUGUCAGCAGUUCUACAGCCUGGUGGCUUGUGGGUAGAAACUAUUCCUGUGUCUGCUAGUGCAGGUCUGAAUGCUCCUGAACCGCCUGCUGGACGGCAGGAGUGUGCAAAGUGAACUUCAAUGACUUUGUAAAGAGGAGUUGGCCAAAAUUCCUCCACAAUUAUGUGAGACACUGAAAGUCAUACACAUAACCAUCACCAGCUAUCAUUAAAUAAAUAAUGACACAGUGUUAAAAGUCACUGCUGUUCACCUGAGGUUGUAUUCAAGCACCAGGUUAUUAUUUUUAUUGUGUCUUGAUACAUACAAAGAGAAUGUACUUUCUUUUUCAUGUGACUGUAUAAUAAAUACAAUGACAAUCUUCAAAUGUGUAAAGCUUUUACAUGAGGGUUGAAAACGACCUUUGAUGGAGGUCGAACACUUAAUUUUCAAUAGAAAUAUCAACAUAUCUCAGCGAUUUAAGGCAACUUUAUGAACUUGAUUGAUGAUUGAACACAUAUUUACAAAUUAAAAGAAAAAUAUGAACUUUUGAUCCCUAUAAUGAGGGCGUUGAGUGUUGUGGACGCGUCUCUCCAGUAACACCAUCAAAACUUUAAAUGAGGAAACAUCUUUUGGUAGAAUGGUGCACCAUGAGUUUCUUUGAAAGGGUCAUGAGUUAGAGAUGAAACUCGUGAAACUGCAGGAGGCUUUACAAACACUUUACAAAACCCUUUUUUAUUUGUCACCCGCCUCUAAGUCAGUUUAAUGACCUUUGAAGUGACAGAAACACAUCUGUGUGCUUCUGAAUAGCAACCACUUAACCUCUCCCGCUUUCCACAAACCACCACCACCCUACCUGCUCAUUCUUCUUUACCGAAAUAUGUCUUAGCUGUAAAAACAGGGAGCACGUCACACAAAGGAAAUAAAAUUCCAGCUCAAGAAGUGCCUAAAAAUGGUCUUGCACUGAUAGUUUGUUCAGUUUCUUGUCCAUAUCUAUACACGCGCCGGACACAGGGUUCAAAAUUUCUCCCGAUGAUUUGGUCUUUUGGUGUUUUUCACGUGUCAGUUUCUUGUUGUGAAAGUGAUAUAAAGGAUGUAUAGCCCAGUGACAGGAACACUCCUUUCUGACUGUAGAAUCACAGAAACGUCAGCAGAGAUACAACAAAGUCUGGAGACAAGAGUAGAGGACUUCCAUCUUUCUGGGCUUUAUGAAGCAUUGCAGUUGCCAUGACAACCAAGGCCUUUCCUUGUUUUAAAGAGAUUCACUAUGGUGACCGAGGCAUUGUUGUACUGUGGGCAGGUCUGAGAGGAUACAGCAGGGCUUCUCACAUAUACACUCGCUCAAGUGUGCAAAUACAGGACACGUCGGCGCAUGGGUGCACAUCCACCUACACAUAUGUGUUCAAACAGGGGUUAAAUGAUGUCCAACUGUAACAGGUUAGACAACUGAAUAAAACAGAGUGAUGGUUAAAUAUAGAUUUGAAAUCAAUGCCCUCUUUCCUGCAGGCUUCCUAGUUACACACUUUGACUUGUAGCUUUCACGAGAAAACAUGACAGUCAUCAGAGACAAAUAAAACAUUUCCCAGCAUUGGACACAGCAUUUGUGUUCAGCCUUAACAUAGUCAAAUAUGUAAUUUGACUAUUGUGAUAGUUUAAUUUUAUCAUGAGAACAAGGAUUGGACAGGGAUUGCGAGUCGUUUUGGACACUGACAAGUAUUUAACUCAACCCACUGCAGAAGUGACAAAACUGCAGUUCCUCAGUUUGCCACUUGAGGCUACUUCCAAAAGUGAGUCAUUCCUUAGUCUCCUUUUAAAAUGCCCAACUUUAGGGAGGAAACGGAGGGUUAAAGUGGUGCAUUGCAAUUUCACCAUCUUUUUCUGUUGGAGCUUUUUGAAACAUUUCUUACGGAUCCACAUUUAAGAUGAUGUAGCUGCAGGACACACCUUCGCUGACUCUCAAAACAAACUUUAAAAUACGUAACAGUUUUACCAAAUUGUGUUGAAGUUAAAUAGUGUAUGGCAUGCUUUUUCAUGAAUACUGCUGUCAGGUUUUGUGCAGGAAGAAAAGGUCAUAACUGGAUUUUGUAAGCACAGAGGGAAAAAACAAUCCAUCCAUUCUCUUAUGAUACAGUCUAUGCAGAGAGCAUAAACUCAAACAAAUGUUUGAGCGAAACUUGUUCUGAAAACUGAUGUUCUCACAGUUUCAUACAGGACCUGUUUAUGUAUGAUCCUCUAGCAGCAGCUUUUUUGCACCACUGCAGUGCUUGCGUGUGUGUUCAAACAACAUUGAUGCAAAAUGUAAUAAUUAUUUGUGCAGUUUUCAUGUGUUGAUGUUCCAUUUGUUGCUAAGCAACACCUUCUUGCCUCUUUCCUCUUCACAUUUACCUGGACAAGUCCUAUUCUGAUGCUGCUGGAUUGAAGCUGUUCAUGCUUUGAAGCAUCCUGUGUAAUACCGGACUGAUGUGCUGGCAAGUAUAUUUUUAAAAACUGAGAACGAUGACAGUACCCACUUUACACAGUUUUCUUUUUCAUAUUAUUCCUUUAAAAAUGUAUACCAGGGGGCGCUUUAAUGUUUCUUUAUUGUACUGUGUCAUGACUUAGACAGAUCCCAACUGCACCACACAUCUAUUGUAACAGCGCCCUAAACUCAAUAAGAUGUAAUGCUGGCAUGUUAGGGAAAAUAAGUGAAGUUGAAAAUAUUUUGUUCUGUUAUCUUGCAGGUAAAUCACUCCCAGUUUCCAUCCUUAAGAGACAGACUGGUGCCACUAUUGUCUGAGACAGCACUGACUUGUUUUCCAGGAGAUGCAAAUGAAGAUGUGUGAAGGUGCUUUCCCUGAAACAUGAUGAAGGCUUAAAUAUCCUUAAACAGUUAGGAGGGGUGGACUGGGUAUAGCUGAAUGGACAAUGCCCCCUACUGGCCUACUGGUUUAAUCAAUUUACUGUGGAAAUGUGUAAAGACCCUUUGAUUCCUGCCCCAAACAGCAUUUGGAGGUAAGAGGUGAAGAGUAAUUUAGUUACAUCUAUUUUUCAUCGAUAUUUGCACACUACAGUGUGGUGGGAAUGGAUUUCUUUUCAGCCAGUGGAGGCUGCAGGCAGGCAGGCAGGGACCUGCGGCUGAUAAAAGAUUGGACAUUCCACCUUAAGAAUGCAAGAAAUUACACUGGCAGCAGAUUACCAUCAGGCUGCCAGUGGUCUGGUAUGCAACUGUGGUUCGUGAAACAACUGAGAGCUGCAGAACAAAGAGUGAGAGCAGGCACCAGGUGCUGUGAGAGGUCAGAGGUUCAUCGUUGGGAAGAGAGUUUAACACCUUUGUGAAGAUAACAUAAAUCAGCAUGUGGGAUGAAUUCUUGGGGAAGAAUUAGGUUGCAGUCUCUGCCUCCUUAAAUCAGUUGAUGUUAAAUGCAGCCGGGAUGAUCUGCAGAACACAAGCCUGCCACCUCUUUGAUUUCAUACUAAAUAACUCGGAGCUUCAAAUCCCAAGAAAACAGACAGAAAGAGAAGAACUGUGCCUUCUGCAACAAAACCAUCUUCAUGCAA